rnacentral:rRNA from 1 species
AACGUACGCUGGCGGCAUGCCUAACACAUGCAAGUCGAACGAGACCUUCGGGUCUAGUGGCGCACGGGUGCGUAACGCGUGGGAACCUGCCCUUAGGUUCGGAAUAACUCCCCGAAAGGGGUGCUAAUACCGGAUAAUGUCUUCGGACCAAAGAUUUAUCGCCUUUGGAUGGGCCCGCGUUGGAUUAGCUAGUUGGUAGGGUAAAAGCCUACCAAGGCGACGAUCCAUAGCUGGUCUGAGAGGAUGAUCAGCCACACUGGGACUGAGACACGGCCCAGACUCCUACGGGAAGCAGCAGUGGGGAAUAUUGGACAAUGGGCGAAAGCCUGAUCCAGCAAUGCCGCGUGAGUGAUGAAGGCCUUAGGGUUGUAAAGCUCUUUUACCCGGGAUGAUAAUGACAGUACCGGGAGAAUAAGCACCGGCUAACUCCGUG